CAGCAGCCGCGGUAACACCGGCGGCUCGAGUGGUGGCCACUUUUAUUGGGUCUAAAGCGUCCGUAGCCGGCUUGGCAAGUCCCCUGGGAAAUCUGGCGGCUUAACCGUCAGGCGUCCAGAGGAUACUGCCAGGCUUGGGACCGGGAGAGGUGCGAGGUACCUCAGGGGUAGGGGUGAAAUCUUGUGAUCCCUGAGGGACCACCAGUGGCGAAGGCGUCUCACUAGAACGGGUCCGACGGUCAGGGACGAAAGCUGGGGGCACGAACCGGAUUAGAUACCCGGGUAGUCCCAGCCGUAAACGAUGCUCGCUAGGUGUCAGGCAUGGCAUGACUGUGCCUGGUGCCGAAGGGAAGCCGUGAAGCGAGCCACCUGGGAAGUACGGCCGCAAGGCUGAAACUUAAAGGAAUUGGCGGG
rnacentral:rRNA from 1 species